rnacentral:rRNA from 1 species
AGCUGCAGCCAUGCUACCUUGGGUUGUGAUCUUGUCUGAUCUCACAAGGCUGGCCCUAAUCAGUACUUGAAUGGGAAACCUCCAAGGAAGAAUCCAGAAUUCUGGAGGAA